rnacentral:misc_RNA from 1 species
GAUGAAGAACGCAGCGAAAUGCGAUACGUAAUGUAAAUUGCAGAAUUCAGUGAAUCAUCGAGUCUUUGAACGCACAUUGCGCCCCCUGGUAUUCCGGGGGGCAUGCCUGUCCGAGCGUCAUUGCUGCCCUCAAGCACGGCUUGUGUGUUGGGCCUCCGUCCUCCUCCCGGGGGACGGGCCCGAAAGGCAGCGGCGGCACCGCGUCCGGUCCUCGAGCGUAUGGGGCUUCGCCACCCGCUCUUGUAGGCCCGGCCGGCGCUUGCCGACACAUCAAUCUUUUUUCCAGGUUGACCUCGGAUCAGGUAGGGAUACCCGCUGAACUUAAGCAUAUCAAUAAGCGGAGGA